ACUCUAUUGAUGAUGAAGCCAAGGCCCAGUGGGCCACCAUCUUGGCUUACCUGGGACUACAGGGUUUCCUGUGAUGUGGGACUUCCAGUGCUAAAGCUGGAAUCGUCCUGAGCCAAGAGGGAAAAGUUGGUUACGCUGGAUUAGAGGACCUUACACCAGUCACAUGGCUAGCCCUUAGAACCAUCCUUGAGUGCAAGUAACUCAGGCAGACAUGAAAUUUCUCUGCCUCACCUCCCGCUUCCUGCAAAUCCCUUGAGAAGGAACAGCCAGACUCACCCAGAAGGCCAGACAGCAAAAAUCUGUCGUGCUUCCCAGCAGCCCUGUUUCACAGCAUAGGUAAACUGAGGCCUUCCAAGGUCAAAUCAGUCCCUUGAGGCCUGUGACCACACGUGUCUGGACCCACAUGUUCCUGGGGUCUGGAACUGACAUUGGAAUAUUUGUGGGAAAAAGGAACACUGUUGCUCAGAUUUCAUUUGGGGCACAAACAUGGAUGCAACCUACACAGUCAUUUUGUAAAAUUCCUAAGCUCAAAACAAACAGUGAAGGAAACAUGGCUCUACAUCCAGGUACAGGAGGCCCGUCUCGGUAAACCUCACUCAUGUGAAACUGCCAGCCCCCCAUGGGGAGGUGGAGUGGUAAAAGGAAGUUGAUGAGGUGGGCGGGGCCCAGCGGAGACACUGGAAGAAGGGACAGCUCAGGCUACAGGGCUGCUUCUAGCGGACAGCACCCAGCAACUCACAGACACCGCAUCAAAGCCUUGAAAAAUGACCAUCGCCAGCCUCCCGUCCAUAGACAGGAUGACACUGUCAGCUCUUCUGUGGGGCUCGCCGGCCCCCUGCCCAUCACUGUCAGACACAGCACCUUGUUUCCCUGUACCUGAAAGCAAAUAAAUUAGAUAAAUCUA